rnacentral:rRNA from 1 species
AGUGAACGCUGGCGGUAGGCCUAACACAUGCAAGUCGAACGGCAGCACAGUAAGAGCUUGCUCUUACGGGUGGCGAGUGGCGGACGGGUGAGGAAUACAUCGGAAUCUACUUUUUCGUGGGGGAUAACGUAGGGAAACUUACGCUAAUACCGCAUACGACCUACGGGUGAAAGCAGGGGAUCUUCGGACCUUGCGCGAUUGAAUGAGCCGAUGUCGGAUUAGCUAGUUGGCGGGGUAAAGGCCCACCAAGGCGACGAUCCGUAGCUGGUCUGAGAGGAUGAUCAGCCGCACUGGAACUGAGACACGGUCCAGACUCCUACGGGAGGCAGCAGUGGGGAAUAUUGGACAAUGGGCGCAAGCCUGAUCCAGCCAUACCGCGUGGGUUAAGAAGGCCUUCGGGUUGUAAAGCCCUUUUGUUGGGAAAGAAAAGCAGCAGGUUAAUACCCAGCUGUUCUGACGGUACCCAAAGAAUAAGCACCGGCUAACUUCGUG